rnacentral:rRNA from 1 species
UACGUAGGGGGCAAGCGUUGUCCGGAUUUAUUGGGCGUAAAGAGCGUGUAGGCGGCUUUGCAAGUCCGCUGUGAAAGUCCAGGGCUCAACCCUGGGAUGCCGGUGGAUACUGUCGGGCUCGAGUCCGGAAGAGGCGAGUGGAAUUCCUGGUGUAGCGGUGAAAUGCGCAGAUAUCAGGAGGAACACCGAUGGCGAAGGCAGGUCUCUGGGCCACUACUGACGCUGAGAAGCGAAAGCAUGGGGAGCGAACAGG